UACGUAGGGGGCAAGCGUUGUCCGGAAUCAUUGGGCGUAAAGAGCGCGUAGGCGGUCCGGUAAGUCGGUUGUGAAAACUGGGGGGCUCAACCCUCAGAGGCCGACCGAUACUGUCGGGCUAGAGUCCGGAAGAGGCGAGUGGAAUUCCUGGUGUAGCGGUGAAAUGCGCAGAUAUCAGGAGGAACACCAACGGCGAAGGCAGCACUCUGGGCCGGUACUGACGCUGAGGAGCGAAAGCGUGGGGAGCAAACAGG
rnacentral:rRNA from 1 species